rfam:Ictidomys tridecemlineatus contig000031, whole genome shotgun sequence.
AGGGUUGUAGCUCAGUGGUAGAGUGCUUGCCUAACAUGUAAGAGGCACUGGGUUGAAUCCUCAGCACCACAU